rnacentral:lncRNA from 1 species
AAUGAAGGAUGAAUAAUAACCUAGGACACCUUCCCGGGGGUGCUCUCAGGCCCUGGGGGGCUGAGAGAAACUAAAUCUGCUCUUCAGAAAAAGAAAAAAAAAAAAACCAAACAUAUAGUUACCGUUUCUUCUUCAUACCCCAGAUUACAGGGACUCAGAGCUUCUGCAAAUCUUGUCCUUCCUGUGCAAUGCAUCAUAGAAUCACAGAGAAGGAAGGAGCUUGCCAUCGCUCAACUCAUAGUUCCUCAGAAGGUGGGACCAAAGGGAAGACCAAGAUAUUGAUGAUGAUGAUACUGAUAAUGACAACGAUCAUACCCUGCUGCCGUAAUAAGAAUGGGGUCUCGGGAGACAGUUCUCAGCAGAAAUCCCAGCUGGGCCCCUCCCAGGCUGUGAGCUUCCUUCCCUUCACUUCUCUGAGCCUCGUCUGUAAACAAGGGGAUAAUAUGGUACCAACCUCACAGGGAGUUUUGAGAGGAUUAAAUGAGCACGUGCACAGAACAUAAUGGCCAGCACAUCGUGAAUGCCCAAUACACUUCAGCCUUCCUUAAUUGCUUUUACAGUCACAGUAUUUUACAGUUUACGAAACACUUUUACAUGAAUUAACUAAUGUAGUUCUCACCUCAUCCCCGGAAGAAAGUCGUGAUGGCUCUAAGUUUUACGUAUGGAUACUGAGGCUCAGAGAAAUCUAAUGACUUGCCCCAAAGGUCCAUAAUUCACAUUUUAAAACAAUCAAAUAGGUGCCAGAAGCUUGCGUAAGAUUUUGACCAUUUGGUUCAGGCAUUGAGCGUUCAACACCAAAUGAGCAUCGUGACCCACUCCUUGAAGGUCUGGCCCUCUGGUGUGACAGAGAUUUUCCCAUUCACCAGGCCUGCAGCUGUACCAGUCAGACCAGAACGCAGCUUUGUCAGGGCCAUUUGCAGGCCUGGGGAGAGAUAAGUGUCACAGAGCAAAGUAGUUCAAAGCCACUAGGAUUCUGGGCUCUGUUGUAGCUCAGUGGAGAGUGUGCCGAGGGGGUGACAAUGUCACACAUGAAUAAUGCAUAGAAGGUGCUAAGCUUCAGUUUCAGUACGAUCCAAAUGCUCAUUUCAUCUUUGAUUUUCCCUUCUGGCUGCGCCAUUCCCUACAGCCACUGAUCCCGGGGGCUUCGCUGGAGCCGUCCGGCUGCCCGCUAAAUUGGCUGUUCUUGAUGGUGAAUAGAAAGUGGGGG